UUCAGUUUACAGUGUGAACUCUUCAGUCCAGCAGAGAGCAGCUCCACUCCUGAAUCCUGCAGGUCAUUGUUACUGAGGUCCAGCUCUUUCAGGCAGGAGCUUUCUGAUUUUAAAGCACAGCAGAUAGUUUCACAGUGUUUCAGGGUGAGAUCACAGCCACCAA